rnacentral:lncRNA from 1 species
AGCUAAUUUUUGUGUUUUUAGUAGGGAUGGGGUUUCACCAUGUUGGCCAGGACGGUCUCGAUCUCUUGACCUCGUGAUCCGCCUGCCUCAUCCUCCCAAAGUGCUGGGAUUACCGGCAUGGGCCACCACGCCCAGCCUAGCUCUUGUAUUUCUAUCCACAGAUUUAUAGGAGAAAGGGUCUGGAAAUUCCUUGAGAUUUAAAUUUGAUAAAAUUUAAAUUUGUGGACUGAAGUGGCUCUUACCAGAAAAAAUACUCGAAGAGGGAAUUUGUAACAAGAGGAAUAUGGGGUUUCAAGUGGGGAUUAAAUCUUGAAUCAAGGACCAGAGACUGAGGAAGACAGAUGAUUCAGAACCUAUGAAGCAGCAGAUACUGAAACCUAAUCUGACGUCACAAACCUGACAGCUACUUUGUGACUCAGAAAGAGAUCAAGGCACAGACAUCAGAGUCCAAGUCUUGCUGUGAGGACACAGGGAGAAGACAGCCAUCUACAAAACAAGGAUAGAGCCUCACAAUAAAAACCACCCCGCAGCUACCUUGAUCUUGAACUUCUAAUC